rnacentral:lncRNA from 1 species
UGUGAAGGAGUUUUUCAGGUAGUAGUAAAACACUGACGUAAAUUGUGCUAAAACUGAAAAUGUUUUUGUUACCUCUGUCCCACAGUAUGAUAGAUUACGAGGAAGUUCAAGCCAGUACAUUCAGACACAAACAAGGAAAUACUGCAUUUCCUGAGCUGAUCACACUGAACAUGAUUUUCUCUUCCUGUAUGCUAGUCUAGCCCCACUGACUUCAGAAGAAUGGCUCUUGAUCUGUUCUGGUAUUGCCAAACGAUAAUGCAAGGGCCCUGUCUGUUUACGUGCAUUCUGUCUUGCCAGGGACAGCUAUUUGUGGCCUUCCUCAUUGUACUCUGCUUGCUAGAUAUGGGGGAAGCUGAAGAAGAGGCUGAAAAGCAGUGCCUUUUGGUAAAAGGAUGCUGUCAGCAUGGUCAAUAACUGUAGUGAAAACCCAAACUCAUGUGGACUGCUAGCAACAAACACAAACUUUUCUCUUUUCAGAUAAAUACCCCUGGGGUUAAAAGGCCUCCUUGACUUACAAUAUGCAUUCUUUCUAUUUUUCUGUGUCUGUUGUGGUAAAAUAGUAUUGCUUCUUAUUUUGUUGUGAUAAGACUUGAGGGCUAACUGAUCAAGAGACUAUAUUUCAGAUAUAGUAUUCUACUGUAUUCAGAUAAAUUAUUUUCCUUAAUACUCAGAUAUAUUGUCUGGAGAAAAAAGGACUACUUGUAAAACAUAAAAAUGCAAGCCAAACAAUUUCUUCCUCCAUUAACUUGAGAGGUGGCUGUCUAUCCCCAGGUUUUCUUAUUUAAUGUAAUACUGAUUUAUUGCUCUAAGAAAUGUUCAUAUUCUGACAGUCCUCCCCUAUGGAUCACCAUAAUGCACACUGGAAAGUCUGCUCAAGUCUUGUGCUGCAUUCAGUGUUGUCCUUUUAUAGCAGAAAUAGCAAGCCCUUUUUGUGCAUUGGAGAAGCUCAUAUUUUAUGAUAGUUUAGGGUAACAUGGAAUGAAGGUGGCCUAGCUAUAAAAAUAUUCUGUUUAUCAGCUACAAGGUAGUCUAUGAUACAGUGUGUUGCAUUGUCAGCAAUGCCACUGCUUGCAGCACAGAGCUGACUGUGCCUACACAUUUUAAGAACAAUUUUAAAUACCUAUCAGAAAACGAAUAUGUAAUUUUUACCUUAACACCAUCAUAAUCCAGCAUAAACCAAUAAUUUUAAAAUAUUUUUAUAUUUUUUCUUUUGAAACAUCUCUGAAAUGCUAACUGGAUGUUUAUCUACUGAACUGAAUAGGAAAGGCUACAGGUACAGGCUGAGAAUGUCAGUGAAAAGUUGGACUUGCUUAUAAUGGAUGACCCAAAAAUGAUAUGCAAGUUUCCAAAAAUCUCUGUGUCUGGUUUACUUGGAGGAAGAGCUCUGCAUAUGCUACUGAGCAGAUGAAGCAGC